CAGUCGCCGCGGUAAUACGUAGGUGGCAAGCGUUGUCCGGAAUUAUUGGGCGUAAAGGGCUCGCAGGCGGUUUCUUAAGUCUGAUGUGAAAGCCCCCGGCUCAACCGGGGAGGGUCAUUGGAAACUGGGAAACUUGAGUGCAGAAGAGGAGAGUGGAAUUCCACGUGUAGCGGUGAAAUGCGUAGAGAUGUGGAGGAACACCAGUGGCGAAGGCGACUCUCUGGUCUGUAACUGACGCUGAGGAGCGAAAGCGUGGGGAGCGGACAGGAUUAGAUACCCCGGUAGUCCCUGUCUCUUAUAC
rnacentral:rRNA from 1 species